AAUUUAUGUAAACUUGGAGAGCAAAAUCUUGCAAGAUUCCUUAGUCUUCGAGCAUUCCUUCCCACUUUGCGGAUGUUAGCAGUGCAGGAAGGCGCCCGGGAGGAGGGGCUGGUCCUCCGUGACUGCCUGUGGCCCUGGGGCUCUUCUCCAUUUCGUGUGAGUCUCAUCAUCUUCACAGGAGAAGAUUCUUCAACAGCUCCCAUUGCUUUACUCUUGUUCUUCAAGAUCAGAGCUUUGGUGACCCAGGACGUGCCUGACUCAGUGGAAAGAAGUGUCCCUGAUUUUACACCUUCCUCUGUCUCCAUCACUUCUAAUUUUGUUUCCAAGUCACUCACCACACAGGGCCUCUUACUGGCAACACUGACAAGGGACUUUUUACCCACAAGGUGAUGAUGAGUAGGCCAUGAGGCUACAUCAAGCACAAGACAAAAUGAUGAAAUCAAGAAAUGCAGUAAUCUGAGAGGCAUGAAGAUUAAAUGUUCGGCAAACUCCUAAACCACUAAAUAGUCAUUUAUUAUCUCAUGUGCUCUGCACUAUAAAUAACCAAAUGCGC
rnacentral:lncRNA from 1 species